CCUACGGGUGGCAGCAGUGAGGAAUAUUGGUCAAUGGUCGGGAGACUGAACCAGCCAAGCCGCGUGAGGGAUGAAGGUACAGAGUAUCGUAAACUUCUUUUGUCAGGGAACAAAGGCGGGGACGUGUCCCCGGAUGAGUGUACCUGAAGAAAAAGCAUCGGCUAACUCCGUGCCAGCAGCCGCGGUAAUACGGAGGAUGCGAGCGUUAUCCGGAUGUAUUGGGUGAAAGGGGUGCGCAGGCGGUCUGUAAAGUAAGCGGUCAAAGCCCGGGGUGAAACCCCGGCCCGCCGUUGAAACUGGCAGUCUCGAGUUGGAGAGAAGUAUGCGGAAGGCGCGGUGUAGCGGUGAAAUGCAUAGAUAUCGCGCAGAACUCCGAUUGCGAAGGCGGCAUGCCGGCUCCACACUGACGCUGAGGCGCGAAAGCGUGGGUAUCGAACAGGAUUAGAUACCCCAGUAGUC
rnacentral:rRNA from 1 species